AUGCUAAAAGCUCCCCUCCCCCCCCGACUGUCCUGUAUUCUAUCUCCUGGAACAGUGAGGCUCCAGUUCUGUGGUGAUCUGGACUGUCCUGGCUGGAUUCUGGCAGAGAUCAGCACACUGGCCAAGAUUUCCUCUGUGAAGCCGAGGGUGGUGUGUAGCCAGGUGCUAAAGGAGCUCCUGGGGCAGGGGACUGAUUAUGGGAAGAUUUUGAAGCUCACUGCUGAUGCCAAGUUUGAGUCUGGAGAGGUGAAGGCCAUGGUCGCAGUGCUGAGUUUCAUCGUCUCCAGUGCAGCUAAGCAUAGGGUGGAUGGUGAGUCCUUGUCCAGUGAGCUGCAAUAGCUGGGGCUGCCUAGAGAGCAGCCACCAUCAGCCUGUGUCGCUGUUAUAAGGAGACGCAGAGGGCCUACAAGAGUGCCUGCUGGCCAGCCCGUUCACACUCAGGACUACACCCUGUGCUCCAGCCUGCUGCACUCCAUGGAGAAGCCCAUGGUGCACUUGUGUCUGGAGGUGGUGCCAGCCCUGGGUGCACCGGCCCAGCCAGUCUCCGUGUCCCUCUCAGCAGAGAAGUUCCGGGUUCUCCUGGCAGACCUGAAAUGGGCCCAGACCCUGAUGAGUUCCUUGGGCUGA